rnacentral:rRNA from 1 species
CAGUCGCCACGGGAAUACAGAGGUCUCAAGCGUUGUUCGGAUUCAUUGGGCGUAAAGGGUGCGUAGGUGGCGGUGUAAGUCUAACGUGAAAUCUCGGGGCUCAACCUCGAAAUUGCGUCGGAUACUGCAUUGCUAGAGGAUUGUAGAGGAGAGUGGAAUUCAUGGUGUAGCAGUGAAAUGCGUAGAUAUCAUGAGGAAGACCAGUUGCGAAGGCGACUCUCUGGGCAAUUCCUGACACUGAGGCACGAAGGCUAGGGGAGCAAACGGGAUUAGAUACCCCUGUAGUCCCUGUCUCUUAUAA